rnacentral:lncRNA from 1 species
AUUUUUGAGAUAGUAUGCAAAUCAUAAGCACAGUUUCAAUAAAACACAUAUUCUGUGAGGCAUGUUGAACUUGUAUUAUUUGGAAUUGAGAAGAGCAAAACUUGCUGACAAAACAGUGCCCAUAUCAUAAACAGAAAGUAGCUGUUCCUGCACAGACUGUCCGUCUUUACUUUCAUAAAGGGUACAUAAUUGUUAAACCUGACUACAUCUUUUGGGGGGAAAUCCUAUGCUUUUAUUUAAAUGAACACUUAGUGUUUCACACUGCCUUUUGAUCAACUCUCAAAGUGUUUGUUUUGCAGCUGCAAUUUGAGCGUGACCGGUCAUUUCCGCACCCUCCACCCCAAGUAAUGAAAACAAUUUUGCAUGGCCUCCAUCUAACCCAGAAAGCAUGUUCUUACCACCUAUGCAAACAACGAAUACAAAAUGUGGGGUACACUAAAUGUGAAUUUUAAAAGCGAUUCUUGGAUUAUGGAGCUCUAUUUUUGAAUUUGUAAUUUUUUACAUGUGGCUUAAUCAUCAAUAGAGAAGAGCAUGAAUGUGUUUUCUUGUUUUGCUUUGCACAUGUUUCUCUUUGCUGAUUUUUUUUUAUCGUUGGCAAGAUUGUAUGAAAAUAAGUAUUUUGCAAGCACGAGUGGAAUUGGAUAUGUUGAACACACACGGGUUUAUAUACUGUAUUUAGCCUGAAGACUUUCCUAAAGUAUUUUGUUCUAAAAAUAACCUGCCAUUUUCUAUAGAUUUUAAUUUUUUAUAUCUUCUAGGGUUCUAUCGUGGUCACAAGGAGAGAAUGUGGCUUCUAAUAGUGCUAACAAUUUUAAAAUGCUUUUGUAGAGACUUAGAGCUGUUUUGGAAAGCUGUGGAGCUUUGCAGCCACUGGUCACAAUAAGAAUAAGCUCAUGGAACUUAUGGUAGCAGUCUACAGUGGAUUAGGUUCUAGAUCCAUCUCACAUUCAUUUAAAAACUGGUGUUUCCCAGUUUUGGAGGGAAGGGAGAUCCAUUGCAGGCUCGGGAGGCUUUUUGAGUCUCAUACGUGUACUUUCCCCAAGAUUCUGUUAAGCCUCUUCUGAAUGACUUGUCUGAGAUUCUGAUACCCAGCAUUCACUAGAAUCAUCUAGAGAACUUUUAAAAAUGCUUGGGUCCCACUCCCAAGCUUUUGAUCUAAUUAGUAUAGGGGCAGGUCCCAGAAGUUGCCGUACAUUUUAAAGCUCUUGGGGGUUUCUGAUAUGUAGUCAGAACUGAGAACCACUGUGCUUACACCAUCCCUAUGGUGAGAAUCACUGCCAUGUGAAGCACUCAGGAGUGACUCAGUCUCCUCUGUUUCGUUGGAGAAGAAAGGAAAAAAAGAUUGAGAAUUACUGAUAUUAACAUCCUGUUUGAAAUAAGGGAGCCUUUCUGAUUUGAGGCCCUGUUUGGGAGCUUGGAGCAUUUUGUGAGCAGCCCAGCACUUUUGCCACUCUGGUGGGAUUUGGUGGUCUUUAGUUUGCUAGAUGAGACAGAGUUCCCUGUGGGGUGUGCAUCUUUCCCAGAGCCUUUUCCC